UUCCAUCAGUUUCCACACCAUCCGCGUUUGCCUGGUCGAUUCCGAACAUCAUUUUGGUCACAAAAUUAACUAAAAAUUCGGAAAUUAUCCGUUUUCACACAAAGGCAAGAACCUAGCGAUAAGCACAAAUAACACUGUUCAUUGCUAAUAGUAAUCGUACAUAAAGAGAGUACAAUGUCCCAGCAGGCAAUCGAAAACCUCACAUUGGACCUGGAGGAACUGAAACAGUUGGCCGAUGGUGCCAAACGGAGUCGCGUACAGCAGAUGCUGUCCAUCGAUAUUCGCAAGCUCGAGACCGAUUUGCAGCACCAGAAAGAUUUGCUAGUUGCCAAGGAGAAGGAGUCUUCCGGAGAAGCAUCCAGCAAACCGCCGGCACCGGUGCCCGGUGAUGUUAAACGCUACCGGAUCGAACUGAAAGAGUACGCCUGGGAUCAGAGUGACAAGUUUAUUAAGAUUUUUGUCACUGUCAACGAAGUCCAACAGGUUCCCGAGGAGAGUGUAAACGUGGAAUUCACGGCGAGCUCGUUCAAUCUGCUGGUCAGCAAUCUGAACAACAAGGAUUAUGUUUUCACCGUGAACCACCUGCUGCACGAAAUCGACCCGGCCAAGAGCUACCGUAGGGUCAAAUCCGACAUGGUGGCGAUCUACCUGGCCAAGGUGAAACCGACCAAAUGGGGCCACAUGACGCUGACGGCCAAGCGCCUGCAGGACAUGAAGGACGAACGGAUGUCCAAGAGCAGCAAGGACACCGAGGCCGAUCCGUCCGGUGGGCUGAUGAAGAUCAUGCAGCAGCUGUACGACAGCGGUGAUUCGGAAACCAAACGGAUGAUCAACAAAGCAUGGCACGAGUCGCAAAAUAAGAAGAGCGAGUUGCAGGGUGCCCCGGCCCCCUUCACGGAGUAGUAAGGGCAAGUGAGGGCUCUGGAUUUUUUGUAGGAGACAAGUGCGCUUUUCUAGAGCGGGGUUCCCAAGAAAAAUGGCGAAUUAGCAUUUACAGCACUGAUAACAAACUAUGAAAACUGAUGUAAAGUUAUUGUAUAAGCUUCAAUAUAGAUAUGGUGGGGCGGGGCAAGAUGGGUCGCGGGGCAAGAUGGGUCAGUGCCAUUUUCGGGCGCAUUACUCAUGUUUUGAUUAUGUUAAUAAUUUUGUUAGAUGACCAGCAUGAAUAUACAAAAGUAAGGGGCAUUGAUUGAAAAAUUAUUCACUCUCAUUGGAAAUAAAAAAUAAAAUGGUUUUUAGCCAUUUUUCUUAUGCGAUACAUUUCAUAUAAUCUCCAUAUAAACGGCCGCGGGGCAAGAUGGGUCACCUUCAAUUUUGAACGUAUUUUUGGAGCAUUUAAA